GAUGAACGCUGGCGGCGUGCCUAAUACAUGCAAGUCGAGCGAACGGACGAGAAGCUUGCUUCUCUGAUGUUAGCGGCGGACGGGUGAGUAACACGUGGAUAACCUACCUAUAAGACUGGGAUAACUUCGGGAAACCGGAGCUAAUACCGGAUAAUAUUUUGAACCGCAUGGUUCAAAAGUGAAAGACGGUCUUGCUGUCACUUAUAGAUGGAUCCGCGCUGCAUUAGCUAGUUGGUAAGGUAACGGCUUACCAAGGCAACGAUGCAUAGCCGACCUGAGAGGGUGAUCGGCCACACUGGAACUGAGACACGCUCAAGACUCCUACGGGAGGCAGCAGUAGGGAAUCUUCCGCAAUGGGCGAAAGCCUGACGGAGCAACGCCGAGUGAGUGAUGAAGGUCUUCGGAUCGUAAAACUCUGUUACUAGGGAAGAACAUAUGUGUAAGUAACUGUGCACAUCUUGACGGUACCUAAUAAGAAAGCAACGGCUAACUACGUG
rnacentral:rRNA from 1 species